AGCAUAUUCAACACAUAUUACCAAUAGUCAUGAACACAUAUAUAUCCAACACAUGUUACCAAUAGUAGCAAGUUUCAUCCGUACAUAUACCUAGUUUCAUCAAUAUUACACAGUUUCAUCCAUAAGUAGCAAGUUUCACAAGGUCAAAACAAAAACUAAAUACAAGCACUCCAUCAACCCAAGCUUCCGUGAUCUUAAGCAAAUCUGUAAAAUGGGAAAGAAGAAAGUUAGAAGAAGAAGACUAGAAGAAGAUUAUUAUGAUGCGGAAAUAUGCAUGGAUUGUCAAAACUUGCAUUAUCCUACUAUCACUAGUACAACAAAGCUGCAGGUUGGCAUAGUUCAUGAACCAUGUACAUCAUGACAAAUACAAUAUCAUCCAAUGCUCGACUAUGAACAAAAUUGAACAAUUACACCUCACAAAGGCAGAGCAUAGAACCAACAAGCAAGUAGGAGGGGUAUAAGAGGACUUGAGGAGCUCACUCGAGGGGGUUCUAGCCUAGGCCGAGCUUCAUCACCAUGGAUGCAUCUAGGGGAAUCAAACGAGUCUACCAUCA
rnacentral:lncRNA from 1 species